UACGAAGGGGGCUAGCGUUGCUCGGAAUCACUGGGCGUAAAGCGCACGUAGGCGGGUUCUUAAGUCAGGGGUGAAAUCCUGGAGCUCAACUCCAGAACUGCCUUUGAUACUGGCUAUCUUGAGUACGGGAGAGGUGUGUGGAACUCCGAGUGUAGAGGUGAAAUUCGUAGAUAUUCGGAAGAACACCAGUGGCGAAGGCGACACACUGGCCCGUUACUGACGCUGAGGCGCGAAAGCGUGGGGAGCAAACAGG
rnacentral:rRNA from 1 species